AUGAUCUACCGCAACUGGUCCCUGCUCUCCUCCACGGUGGUCAUCUGGGGCAGCGUCGGCGCCGCCGGCCUCGCCGGGAUCUUCCUCUUCGGCGGCAAGGUAACCAGCCAACCCACCACCCACCGCGCUGCUCCCUCCCCUGACGGCCCCGGUCGUUUUGGCCGGUUGGCCGCUUGGUCCGCGUGUCCGCCCUGGUAG
rnacentral:rRNA from 1 species